UGCAGACAUUUAAGAUCUGUGGCAGAGCGCCCCUCCUGGGUCAGGGGGUUUUCCCUGAGAAGGUCAGUUGCUGUUUGUAUUUGCAGGGGAAGCAUAAAUGGUGACUAUGUUACAGCACUGUUCUUUGUCUAUUAUUAGGAAGUCCAGGCAGAUAGCUGCAGUCAAGGCCAAGUGUGCCAGGCAGUCCUCUUGCGAGAUGUCUCUGAUCCCAGAUGUCUGAGGCCAGGUGUCAUUGCUGCCCUAGGCGUGUGAAGGAACAGAGUCAAGCAGG